rnacentral:RNase_P_RNA from 1 species
AGUGGGCCAGACGGCCGCGCUGGAGAUGCCAUGGCAUCUCGGUGAGGAAAGUCCGGGCUCCACAGGGCAGGAUGCCGGCUAACGGCCGGGCGGGGCGACCCGACGGACAGUGCCACAGAAAAGAAGACUCCCGCUGGGGGCUUGCCCCGAGCGAGAAAAGCUGAAACGGUGCGGUAAGAGCGCACCAGCGCGUCGGUAACGGCGCGGCUUGGCAAACCCCAUCCGGAGAAAGGGCAAAUAGGAACGCCAUGGGUCGGCCCGGCCCGCGUUCGGGUUGCUCGAGAGUGAGGCCUGCGGCAACGUAGGCAGAAGAUAAAUGGUCGUCCAACGACAGAACCCGGCUUAUCGGCUCGCUCC